rnacentral:lncRNA from 1 species
CCUACCAAGCAUGGAUUAAAAACCUUUGCUAUACGCAAAUGUGGAAGUUUAUCUUUAGCCCUUCUUCUAUCGAACCUGCCUUCCCGGAAAGCACUCGCAUGUCUGAUCCAUUUAUUCCUCGUUCCUUAAUAAAAGCGUAAGAAUUACCUCUUAAGCGACUCAUUCGAUCCCAUAAGGUACCCGUAAGAAAGGCCCCCUUUUAUCAAAGUAUCAAAGCAGAAGAAAGUAGAUUU